ACAUUUCAUGAAAUAAGUAAAUUGGAUGUAAUACAGAAAAUAUAUAGAUAUAUUUCGCUCUCCAGCUAUGUAAACGCAAGCGCAAUGGGCAGCUAUACCUUUUCGAUGAAUCAGUCGAUCUUGUACUAUUGAAGCAUAUAUAUCGAUAUAAAACAGUGUGGCAGCUGCAGUACACGUGUUCUUGGCUGUAUCUCAAUAAAUUGGCUGUAUGUCAAUUACUAAUCUUUCACUCAGCUGCUUAUUGUUCAAAUGAGGUUCAUGAAUGCAUAGUAUUUAAAACAGUAAAAUAUGAUAUAGCCGUGGUCAAAAUCUGAAACGAGAAGCUUCCUCUGUAUCGACAGUAAUCAUUAAAAGUUAUCAGGAAGUGUCUCCAACUGCUAAAUAUAUCCAUUACAGUUAUUACUUAUGUUAAUAUACAGGAUCUGUUGAAAAUAAUGCAACCGAAAAUGAAGUAAUUUCUAGUGGGAAAAACUGUGUGGAGGGAGAAAGCAUAAAAUAUUUUUAUAUGAGACUUUCCAAACAAUUAGGUAUGAAAAUUCGUGGAGUGCACAUAUACUUGACUAUCAUGUUUCAAUUCAAAGG